rnacentral:lncRNA from 1 species
AAACAUGUAGGUGGAUUUGUGCCUUCCAUUUCCUCUUCCGGUUGACAAUGUAGACCGAGCAUUAUCUCUCUGUGUUCGAGCUGCGUCUUUAUAGUUCCUUUGAGAAACCACACACUUGCUAUCAUCUUGUGCAGAUUUAUCAGUGUAGGUUACACUGUGAUUGAACUGCUCGGUUCUUACAUCCUGAGAUGGAUUGUCACUGGUGCUAGCAGUGAAAGUCCUUUCACUGCCAUAUUCUGUACUCUCCCUGGCACAUAAAUCUUUCCUGCAUCAUUGUUUUGAAGGAAAUCAAGUCACAUUCAAAUAUAUAUAUCCGCUGAUGAAAACAAAUAGUGCAGAAGUGACCAUUUUUUUUUUAGUUCAAGAGAGUAGAAUUACAAGGAAUUAUAAGACAAACUUAUUGGUUAAAUAACCGGUUAAUGACUGGGUUUAGAAUAUAAUUGAUUCUAAUUUCAUUUUUUUAACCCCUUAAUUUGCUUCUUAAUCAAAUAGAGAGGAAGCUGUGCCUUCUGCCAGAGAAAGAUAGCCAUUGACAUGCUAAGCUAAGUUACAGGUCAAGCCAAGUUAGGAUCAUCAAGUAAGAAAUGAAAGCAACAAGAAAUAAGUAAAACCAACUGCUAAAACUCUAAACAAUUAACAAAAUGUUAAAAAUAUAGCUAAAAUUAAUGCAUCCUAACUUUUCUUUUUCUUUUUUUAAUUAUUUUUCUUAUGUUAUUAUUAGCCAUAAUCUAGAAUAAGUACGCUUCCUUGAGGUAUUUAAUGUUCAGGUUGUUACUAAAAUUUACCUAAAAAUUAAUUAUCAGGCAACAAAUCUAAUUAGGGAACAUAAUCAACAAUCUCAAAUAAUAAAAAUCUCUACUUUAACACCAAAUACUAAAAAAUACACUGACCUUGAAUUGAAAUUUGGAGCCACCUCCGUAGACACAGCUUUUUCCCACAGAUUCUGCACAUCCUCAGGAAGAAGAUGCUUCAAAUCAUCAAAGUUUAGGAAAAAAUCACAAUCAAAGCCUGGACAAGGAACAGUGCCGAAACCCUCUUUGAUCUUUGCCUCCAAGUACUUGCUUAUACAGUAAUCGGAACAAAAACAGUGACCACAUUCCCCAUUCUUGAUUAGUUUCUCAUUUUCUAUCAUUUCCGUGCAAAUCACACAAAAACUGAGGGAUGAUUCAGAUUCACCUAUAUUUUUCACAUAUGGUGAUGGAUUCGGCAACUCUGAAGUGAAAAGAGAAGCCUGUAGAGCUUCUUGGAGCUGCAAUUCUUCAGCCAUUGCAGCAUCCGAUAAAAGCAUGAUUCGAAACUCAUCACCUCCAUUGUUGUUAAAGAAAGCUGGGUGAUGAGCUUCAUUGUUUGCAGGAAGAAGAUCAAAGGUCUGUGGUAUUGCCAUUUUAGAAAAUCUUCGUUGACUGUAAAUUAGUGGGUCUUCUACUCUUCUCUGUGUGAUAUGAACUCUUUACGUGCUUUAUAGUUUAGAAAACUUGGCUUGGAAGUUGUCUUUUCUUUUUUCCCUGUUCAGCAACUUCUCUGUAAUUAGUCCUUUUUGACUGAACAUUGAAUUGCUUUUUCUCUGUCCAUGUAGGCCAUUUCUGUAAUCUUUUUAAAUUAUUAUUUUGAUCGACUAAUAAAUAAAAUAAAAAAUUAUUAUUAAAAAGAAAUUUUUAAUCGCAUUGAUCAUAUUGACUUCUUUAAUCUUUAAAAAUCUUUGGCCGUAGAGUUUGUUAUUACUAUAAGUUAAAAUUUUUUUUCUAUAUCGGUAAUAUAUUAUUUUUUUCAUUUUCUUUCAAUCAUCAAGUUUCAUUUUUACGUUCCAUUUCAAUAAUUUUGUUUUUACAAUAAAUUCAACAAAAACGAGCACUUAUAAGGGGUAAUCUAUAUGUAUACACAUAAAUAUCCAAAUGCCCUUUCAUUCUUCAAUUAACGUCUCUCAUCUCUCUCUCUCUCUCUCUCAGUUUCUAGGAGUGGCAUAAGGGUAGCUUCCAUUAUUUCUCAUCAAUGCAGAAGAAGGGAAUCUGCGGUAUCUGCAACUGACGUUUCAAUGGCAGAGCCAUGGGAGGCCACAUGAAAUCUCACUCAGCUAAACAAUUGUUACCUCCAAAACUCAUUCCAACCCGCCAACAAAACCCAUCAUCCUCUGCUUCUCCUUCUAAUUAUCCUUCAAGUGAUCAAAACCCCAUGCAAAUGCAAUCCUCUCGAUCCACCAACCAAGAACUCCCUUUGAUAUCAAAACCUAAUCUUGCUAACGGUGGAGUAAGUGACACCGAUUUGUCACCAAGGAAUGACCCAAUUCGGAGACGAUCUAAAAGGCAGCGCAUAUCCGCCGAGAAAGUAACUGAAUCGGUCGUGAAAUCCGCCCAGUCACCAAAUUAUGUAAUUUAUAUAUCUUCUUCAAGCUAUGUGUCGCGGAGAAUAAUAAAACAAGCAUUAUAUGAUCAUGAAAGAAAUAGAUUCAGAUUUCUCCUUUGAGAUUUCCUUAAAUUUAAUAUAUAAAAGAUUCAUAUUUUUCCAUUGAGAUUUCCUUAAAUUUGAUAUGGAAAAAUAAUAAUUUAUCUCGAGAUUUUAUAAAAUUAAUUAAUUCAUCUUUUUAUUUUUAUAUAUUAAAUAUUUAGUCUAUUUUAUUUUUGCAUUUAGGUAUUUAAUCUCUGAAAUCUGAUUUCGUCGCAUUAAACUAUCUUUCCGUCCAAUUUUGAUGAGCUUCGCCGUUAAAUGGAUAAUAAAAGACUAAAAUACCCUUUGAAAAGUCAAAAAUUAAAGCCACCAUUCCUCUUCUUCUCCUUCAUCUCCUCAAAUCUCUAUUUCUGCUGUUAUACAAACUCAUUAAAUAAAGAAAUAUAUUAACCAACCAUUAAAUUUAUACUGUAUCUCACUUUGAGAGCAUUACAAAUCAUAAAAACAAAAAAAUCAUUUAAAAAAUCUGCCCUUCUUCUCCAACCACUUCUUCAUUCUCCAGAACUUGUACUGUGUUUUUUUUUUUUGGUGUAUUUGUGAGCUGGAUGAAGUAGUUUUCCGCCAUUCAUUUCUCUAACAACUUGGACAAUAAUCGGCAGAAUACAUACAAAGUAAAGCCCCUAAUAAACCAAAAAUGCAAGACCUCAAAUUUGAAAUUAACUUUAAAAAUCAAAACCCCUUUUUUUUUUUUUCUUUUUCUUACAUUAGCAGUGUCAUUUAAUAUCUUAAAACAAAGCUUUGGCCAUAACUACAGCAAAAUAAAAUACAGGCAAAUCAAAAUCUAUUACAAUCCAACCGUCAGUUAAUGACAUAGCCAUGGCUGCUCUUCGACUAGGAGUAGUGGUAUCUCCAAGCUUCUCCAGUCCUAUCCUCAAAAUACAAAAUUAGCAACACCUUCUCGGUGGUGGACGACGGAGUAAAUAUGGGCUGUGGCGGUGAGAGAAGGAAGACAAUAGAGAAGAGGAAAAUGGGUAAGGAACAAAGUUGAAGAGUACCGUUUUUCAUUUUAAAAUAUCUCUCUCUCCUCUCUUUCCCCUUUUACCUUCAUUUAAUAGAAAAAAUCAUUUUAUUUUGGACGCAACGAUCGUUUCAUGUGACGAAACCAAAUUUUAGGAAUUAAAUAUUAAAUAUAUAAAAAUAUAUAAUAUAUAAAAAUACGAAAAUGAAUUAAUUAAUUUUGUAAAAGUUCAAUGAAGAAAGAGUUGUUUUCCUUUUGAUAUAUAUAAUAACUGUAUACCAAACCAAUUACAAAAUUCAAAUGAAAAUAUUUUUAAUUUGAAAUUUAUUAUCUAGAAAAAUUUUUUUUAUUAAAAAUGUCACUGUCUUAUUUUUUCUAGUGAAUGUUAAAAUAAUAUGCUAAAAUAUUGUUUAGAAUUAAUUUAGUAUAUAAAUGGGCACGUAUAUUGGAUGCGAAUAAAUCUACCAAUUAUAAAUCAUACGCAAAAAAAAAAAAAAAAAUAAAACAUUAAUAUUAUUUCAAAAUAUAAUUUUAACCUAACAUAAAAUUUUCUAUUUGAGAAGCUAUUAAUUUUGGUUGGUCUUUUUAAUAAGAAAUUUUGGUUAAGCACGUGGUAGUUAUACGAAUUAGAAAUCAAGGAAAAGGAAAGGGGAAUGACUCCCUUUUUUUUUUUGGCAUUGUAUAAAUUCUUUUUUUAAUUUAAAUAUUCUUUAGGUGCAGAAUGUAAAAUAUACAUAAAGCAUAGAGCUUUUUUUAUCAAUUUGUCAAUUUAGAAGAUUUUGGCUUGGCUCCCUUCCUCACAAGCUGCAUCCAAGUUUCUUACACUAUGUUUGGAUUCACGAAAAACAUAGGAAAAUAGUAUAAUUUUUUUUUUCUUUCUCUUAUUUGGUUGUAAAUCAAUAAUAUGAUUUAUCAUAGUGAUUUAAUAAAAGUUCGAUGGACGGAAAACAAGAUACUUAUAUAUAUAUAAAAAAAGACAAUUUAUGAAUCAAAUUAAUUGUAUAUCUAAGAAAAAAAAGGUAUGAAUUCUUGUUGGAGAAAAAAAAAAAAAUAUAUAGUAUGAUUCUUGUGGUUUCCGAAAUACAAGUAGUCAGUUCUUGUCUUUUUUAAAAUACACUAAAGAAUCAUUACAUUUUACUUUUUCAGAUUAUAAGGUUCUUCCAUCCAAGUUUUGCAUCUAUUAAAUACCUUAUGAAAUGAUAAAAAUAUUCUUUUUAUUUUUAAAAAUACAGAGACAGGUUAGUUGUAUUUUUCAAACUAUAUGAACCAUACUAUAAUUUUGUGAUAUAGUAUUUUAAUAUCUCUCAUUUAACCUCUGUAUUUUUUUAUUAACUUAAAUGAAAAGAUGUAAAAAUUGAACAAAAUGAUCUAAUAGUAUAAUAAAGUAGAAUAUGAAAAAAUUAAUAUAUUUUAAAAAAAUAAAGAUAGACUAAUUAUAUUUCGCAAACCAUAAAUAUCGUAUUGUAUUUUUUUUUUUUUCAAAACAUAUUGAAUGAAAUCUUAUAUUGAAAUCUUCUCUCUUCCUUUUUUUUUCAAAAAAAAAAAAAAAAACAUUAUUAUUAUUAUUAUUUUUUUAAAAUUUUUCUAGGCGUGAUGGUAGAUCUUGUUGUUUCCUCAGUCCACACGAUGGCCGUCCGCUUUGACCAUAUUUCGGAUCUGACGAAGAAUAUUUGAGUCUAACCUAACAGGAAGAAUGCAGGUUGGAGUUGAAGAAUUUGACGUGACUUCCAACACCACAGUAAAAGCCGUUAGGCAUGAAAUAUGAAAGAAUAGCGUUGGCAUAGUUUGUUAUAGUUAUUUAUUUUUAGUUUUUUAUUUAUUAAAAACAUGAAGUAAUUUUUAGUUUUUGAUUAUUUAUCUUUUUCAACUGUUUUUUUAAUUAAUUUAUUUAUUUUAUUCAUGAUAUGAAGAAUUUUUUUCAUUAUCAAAUCUCUUCCGUUAAAAGAUUUUAAUUAAUAAUAAAAAUUUUAAAAAUUAUUUUGGGAUAAAAUAAUUAAAAUAUUUCAUAAUUUAAUUUUUAAAUAAAAAUAAUACUAAAUAGAUAAGAGAAAGAAAAAUAUAUAAUUUGAAUAAAAAAUAAAACUAUCUUCUUGUAUUUUUUUGCAUAAAUAAAUGAUAUUAGAUUUGUAUAGAUAAUAAUAAUAAUAAUAAUAAUAAUAAUAAUAAUAAUAAUAAUAAUUUAAUUAGGAUAAAUCUUAUAAAAAAUAAAAAAUAAAAGAAUGUAGAAUUAAGAACAAAAACAUAAUUACAUAAACCACUAUUUGUGGUUUCAUCAAAUUUAUUUUUUAUUUUAAAAACGGUUUUAUUAAAGGUAAAAAAAAAUUAAAUAAGUUUAAACAAACAAGUUUUAUUUAUUUUUUAAGAAAAAAAUAAAAAAACAAAAACCUUAAAUGAAAACAAACCAACAACUCAGGCCUCGAUUGUUAUAGUUGUUUGUUUUGAGUUUUUUUAUCUAUUAGAAAUAUAAAACAGUUUUUAGUUUUUGAUUAUUUAUUUUUUGAAAACUAUUUUUUUUUCUAAAUUUUUUUUUUAUUCACAAUGUGAAAAAUUAUUUCAAUUAUCAAAUCUCUCUUAUUAAGUCAUUCAAAAUUUUACUUAAUAAUAAAUUUUCAAAAUUUCAUGUGAAAUAAUUAAUAUAUUUUAUAAUUUAAUUUUAAAAUUUCAAUUUUACAGUAACUAUUGAUUAUUAUGUUGAAUAAAAACAUAAUACCCAAAUAUUAUAAUAAAUAAAUAAUACUAAAUGACAAUAGAUUUAUAUAUAGAGAGAAAAUAAUAAUAAAUAUAAAAAUAAUACUAAAUAGAGCAGAGAUAGAAAAAAAAAAGUUGAGAAUUUGAAUAGAGAUAAAAAUAUAUACUUGUAUAUUUUGGAUAAAUAAAAUGACAUUAUACUUAUAUAGAUAGAGAAAAUAAGAGUAAUAAUAACACCGAUAACAAUAAUUUUAUCUGGAUAAAUCUUAUAAAAAUGAAAAAAAAUAAGAAAUAUAAAAUUAAAAACAGAAAACACAAUUUUGUAAACUAAACAAAAAAAAAAUUAAACAAAUUUAUUUUUGUUUUCAAAACAGUUAUCUCAUAAGUAAAGAAAAAAAAAAAAAAGCAAAUUUCAACAAACAUGUUUUAUUUAUUUUUUAAAGAAAAAAAUGAAAAAUAAAAAAUUUAAUCAAAAACAAACAGCAGCUUGAUUUUUAAUUCUUUUAAUUUAAGGGAAAUUCAUAAAAUUAAAUAGAAAUUUUAACUUCUAAAUUUCCCAUGUGCAAGUUACGUUGUAAAAUCAGCCAACAAAGUCUUAGCUAGAGACUUUAAUUCUUUAUCUUUUUUUUUUUCUUUUUUCUUUUUUCUUUUUUUUUUAAAUCACUGAAUUAAGUCGCUGAUUUAUUGGCAAGAAUGUCUGAUUGGAUGGUAAAUGAAAUUUAUAUGUUUUUUUUUUUUUUUGUGAUCUUUUGUAUUAGGAAAAAUUAAAAUUAUUUUAUAAAAUUCUAGUCAAAUUACUAUACAAGAAUUAUCAUUUCAAAAACUAAUUAUGUGGUCCAUAAUUUAUUAUUUUGUUAACAUGUUAUUCUCUCCGUUCAAGGUAGAUUUUUACCGUUUUCACUGCCGAAUUAACCGAGAAAUUUAUACCUAAAUUAUAACCAAACUAAUUAUGAGAUUUUUAAUUUAUGAUUUUAUUAACAUUUUAGUAUUUCUGUUUUGAACGGAAUAGCUAAACUGUUAAUAGAGUUAUAAAUGAGACUUUAUAAUUAAUAACUUGUUAUUAAAAUAGGAGAACCAAAGCUCUCAACAUGGUGAGAGACAAAAAACUUUAAGCGUGAUCAAGAUGAUUUGGUCAUUGAUGAAUUUAUAUGGUGUUUUUAUUUUCAUAUAUGAUAUUGAAACCCAAACCGCUAACUGUCACUUAAAACAAUAAUUAAUAAAACACAAUUUUUACAUAUAUUAGUUUCACAUAUUAUGAAUUAAGCAGAGAAAAUAUGGAAUACAUUGUCCAAACAAUACGACAUCGUGUCAUUUUGAAACGUGCUUCCAAUUUGUUACUGGUAUUACUAGGACUUCCUCUUCUUGCCCAAUAACCCAAUUAACGGCAUUUUUCCCAAUAGCUUUUGCCUCAACUUCUCUAUGUACUCAUGGCGUUCUUCACUACCAGAAGCUGAAAUAAGUUGGCGUCACCGGCCUAAUCAUUGUUUCCUCCGUCAUAACGGGAGCUAUAUUUAUCAUUUCUUGUAUUACUGGCGAUUGAGAGCCCUCUGCCAUUCCUACAUUUUCCUUGUGUUGUUCUGUAAUUUCCUGAUUUCUGCAUCCAGAACUGAUGGACUAAAUUGAAAAGGACCUAAAAAAAUAGUAAUUUUCGAACACUAACUUUUAUUAAAAUACCUGUUUUCGCAAUAAUUUAUGCUUGGAAGAUUUGCAUUUGACUCCUCUAAAUUUUCUUGUUCUUCAUAUUUCUCCUGCUUUAUAUUCUCAAUAUCUCCAUCGUUUUCAUUUCUUCCUUCAAGAGUUGUUCCGAUUUGGUCCUUGUAGAAUUGUUCCAUAAAUUUGAUUAUGUCCUUGGCAAAAGUAGCAUGGAGAGUUGCUAAUUAGAGGUGAGCAUUAAUCGAUGUGGUGUAAAUUGAUUAUGUCCUUGGCAAAAAUUAAUUAUACCUCUUCCAUGCUCUGCUCAUGAUGCUGGUUUGCUUGAUGUCUCAGAUUAUCCAUCUCCUUGGUUAACAUUUUCAGCUUUUCCUUCAACAUGGAAUUGGAUUCUUCAAGCUCUUUAGUAUGCCUUUGCUGCUCAGAGACUCUGUUCUUUAACCACUGAAGCUGAUGAUUCUCUUCUGUCAUUUGCCUGAUUCCAUUCACCACCAUUUCUUGAUAUGAUCUCAUCUCAUAUUUCAGCUUAACCCUACCUAAUAAUCAAUUUCAAAAAGCUCAAUUGCAUAAUUUAUCAUAAUAAUUCAGGGCUAUAAACGAGCUGAUUCUAGCAAUUUACAAUUGAAAAGAUAAAAAAUUUGGCCUUUUACAGGCUCGAAUUGAGGUCAAACUCAUUUAUAAAGUAAGUAGGCUCAAGUUCGGCUCGUUAAACUCAUCGAUCAUGUUUUUCUCUGUGAAAUCUCGAGCAGAUCGGCUCGUCUAUAUCCCUACAUAACAUCAUCUGUUUCGGACUUUAUGUGAUUUUCAAUUUAAUCCAUUACCUCUAACAAAUUUUUUAUUGAAGAAAUCAACAUCUUCUUUUUUUGCCAUGUAACCAUAAAGUUGGUGCUGUUCAGCUGAAAAGUUAAAGAGCCGCCGGUUAAGGAAAUCAUCUCUGCCUAUUCCCUCGCUUACAAAAUGUCUACAUAGACGCUCUGCUUCUAAAUAACCCUUUACUGAGCUUUCAAAAAUUAAGAUGCUGAAUCCACUAUGUCUCUUGUUAGGGUGUUGAACUCUCACAAUACCCUCAUAUGAACUGAACAUUUCCAGCAGCUCUUCACUUGUCAUGCCAAUCCUCUACAAUUCCAUCAAAAUCCAAACAAGAGAUAAGUAAUUUAUAUCUAUUUGUGCAAAUAAUAAGAUUAGGAGUGGAUAAUCUCACCUUAUAAUUCUCAUCCUCUUUGUAGGUUGUAUUAGCAAUUACAACCAUAGGAGGCCAAACCAUCUCAAAAUCUAUGUUAUUAUUGCUUAAACCUUUGCAUUUUGGACUUGCUGCUUCUUGAAUUAUAGUUGCAGAAAUUGCCUGCUGAUCAUUAGAAUGCAACUUGUCUUCCAGCAAUUGUGCAAGCUCUCUGUGGAGCCUAAUCCUUGUAGACCCUUUGGUUUUAGCAUGCUGAAUGAGGGGCUGCAGGCCCAAGUACAGUUCAGUGGUAUCUCCACCUCUUUGACAUACUGGGCAGUGCCAUUGUCUGGCUUGGUUUUUUAUCUCUUCAAAGAUCAAACAUCCUAGCUCCUUAAGAAAUUUCUUGAACCACUUGCUCUUCUUGCAAGCCUCAACUUUUCUUGGACUUGCUUCAGAAUCGUAAUCGUCGGUAUCAGGUAAUUCAUCUGAAUCACUAUUAGCAGGUUUUUUGCCAUUCUCUGAAUUAGUCUUCAGAUGCAAUUCUUUGCUGUAUCAUUGUUUUACCAAUUGUUAAACUACUUUAUAAUUAAGCUUAACUAAUAACACAAAUACAACACCAACACCAUCAACAAACUAUUUAUUUUUAACCCAGAAAUUAAAUGUGCACUGACCUGCAAGUAAAAUCCAUGGACAUUGUCCUUUCCCACAAAUUGAGCACAUCCUUGGAGAGCAAAUGCUUAAAAGAAUCCAAUUCUAGAACAUAAUCACAAUUUAAGCCUGGACAAGUGACAAUAUUGAAUCCCUCUUUGAUCUUUGCCUCUAAAUGCUUGCUUAGACAAUAAUCCAAGCAAAAUGAGUGACCACAUUUCCCAUUCUUGAGAACCUUACCUUUUUCUUUCCUUUCUUUACAAAUUUCACAAAAACUCAUAGAUGAUUCACCUCUUUGUACUUUGAUCUCUUGAAGUGAUGGUAUUUGACAAGUGAGCAAAGAGGCCUUUAGACUUUCUUGAAACUGCAAUUCUUCUGCCAUUGCCGCAUCAGAUAGUAGCCAAAGCUCUUUUUUUUCAUUUUCCAUCAACAAAUUAUGAGAAGUGGGUAUCUUAUUUAGAGGAAGAAGAUUAAAGGAUUCAGGAGCUAUUUCUAUUCUGCAGAAAUUUUUGGCGGGUUCUUUUAUGCUUUGCCGUCUCUAUAAAUGAAGUAGCUUAUUAUAUAGUAACAGCUUCCAUUUAAAUUGCCUACCAAGAACUUCACUUGGAAGUUAUCCGGAUUCUACUUCUUUGAGGGGCUCAACUUCUUUCUACGGCUUUUCCACAGUAUCAUGUGUUUGUUUGACAUUUUGCAUCUCUUACCUAUGAAGGACCUUAACAUAUGCAUGGGGGAAUAUUUGUAUAUAUGAUUUGGGGACAAGAAUUACUUUCUCCUUUUUUAUUGAUUCAUGCUGAUGAAUUUUGUUUUAUUUUAUAUAUUAUACUAUAGAUUUUUAUACUGUUCCAUUACGUUGUCAUUUUUAGCCCCUAACAAGAGAUUGAAUUGGAUUUCUUUCUGUGUCUUUUCCUUGUCCUUGUCCAUCAAGAGACAAGGAAAAAUUUUUAUUUGACAGCAAAAUUUGUUCCCUUUGUCAUUCUAAAUGAUUUUUAAGUUUUGUUUUAACAAAUGUUGGGUUGCUUUCUUCAAUCCAACUCAGAUGAUAACAACUUCUAGUGGUCCAACUCUGAUAAAUUCAAAGUUUCUGUACACAUGAAAAUAUUUUCAGGAAACCCUAUUUAUAAAGCGUAGAUAUAGUUGUUAUCAUUCACCAGCUUGCUAUUGCUAACAGUCUAAUUUACUGGAUAGGCAGUCAAGUCUUCAAGUUAAUAAAUUUUAUUUAUUUUUUAUUCCUGGUCUCAUUCAAAAGCUAAAAAUCUAUUUGCCAGAGAAAUCGGAGUCUGAUUUAUGAUAACAUUCGAAUAGUUGAUGUUUAAUCAUAAGUACAAUUCGGGAUAAAUUUUUGUUUUCAAUACAUAUUAGGAUCAGGGAUCAAUAGUUGCUCCAUUCCUUUCACAAAAAUGUAGACUCGCUUGCAGAAUGUGAAAGGCAGAGGAGAGAAUUAUGCUCUGGGGCUACCUAAUAAUUCUCAUUAGUAUGGGGAUUGAAGCACCAAGAACUGGGAUGGCAAGAUCUUUCCAUGACAUCUCAAAACACAUGGACCGAUGAUCGCUAACUCCCCGCUUUUCCCGGGGUCUCCCAGCAAAUCUUGAACUUGCACUUGCUCUUUCCCUUGCAAUUUCAGGUUUCUUAAUCUCUUCUCGUUCUGGCAACCAAGGAAUCUCUGCUACUUCUUGUGUUUCAUUUUCAGUGUCUUGAAUGUUUAAUAACUCUUGUUCUUGCCCACUCUUUAUCUUGUCAAAAUCUCCAUCUUUGUCACUUCCUGAUUCAAGAUUUCUGAUUUUGUCCUUGUAAAAUUGCUCUUGAAAUUGCAUCUAAGAAAAGGCAUUAAUAUAAUCAGUCAUGACAUAUAACUAAUAUACCGCUUAAUUUCGUCUGUGGUUAGGUGACAGACAAGUACUGCAUUGUCUUCUAAAAUUCACCUAUAUUUAAGAGAGAAGAAAGGGGGGGNNNNNNNNNNNNNNNNNNNNNNNNNNNNNNNNNNNNNNNNNNNNNNNNNNNNNNNNNNNNNNNNNNNNNNNNNNNNNNNNNNNNNNNNNNNNNNNNNNNNNNNNNNNNNNNNNNNNNNNNNNNNNNNNNNNNNNNNNNNNNNNNNNNNNNNNNNNNNNNNNNNNNNNNNNNNNNNNNNNNNNNNNNNNNNNNNNNNNNNNNNNNNNNNNNNNNNNNNNNNNNNNNNNNNUAAUUAUUCUUUAAAGUUGCAUUUCAAAUAUAUAUUUUUAUAUGCAUACCUUUAAAGCCAUCCACAUCUUCUUUCAAUGCCAUGAAACCAUAAAGUUGGCGCUUUCCACUGGGUAGGAAAUAGACCCGCCGUGUAGGCCCGAUGAGUCCAAGCAUAUCUAUCUUUCCGUUCCUCUGCAAAAUGCUUAUGCAGGCGCUCUGCCUCUAAAUACCCCUUUGCUGAGCUCUCAAAAAUCAACAUACUUAACCCGCAAUGUCCUUGCCAAUUGUAAGAGUUUUGAGCCUUAACAAUGGCAUCAUAUGAGCUGAACAAGUCUAAUAGCUCUUGACUUGUCAUGCCAAUCCACUGAAAUCCACAAUUCCAUCAAAACAAGAGCCAACUAAUCAGCAGAACAUUAAAUCUAUCUUCAGAAGAAAGUAAAUAGCAUUCUAUUGUUAUAAAUAAUCUCACCUUGUUAUUCUCAUCUUUCUUAAGCCUUGUAUUUGCAAUUAGAACCAUAGGAGGCCAAACUAUCUCAUGAUCAUUCUUCUCAUCUUUUACACUUUCCCAUUUGCUACUACUUGCUUCACCUUCAGGAAUAUUAGCUGCAACUCUUUCUCUUUCAUCUCCUGAACAUUUCCGUGAACUAGAAGCAAAAGCAGUUUGCAUAUUCAGUCUCGGUCUCAUAAAUGGGCUCUCUGAAAAUCGUGGAACCGUGUUCUUGAUAAACUUGUAGGCUGAUUUGGGCCUUCCAUUUCCUCUUCCGGUUGACAAUGUAGACCGAGCAUCAUCUCUCUGUUUUCGAGCUGCCUCUUCAUAGUUCCUUUGAGAAACCACACACUUGCUAUCAUCGUGUGCAGAUUUAUCAGUGUAGGUUACACUGUGAUUGAACUGCUCAGUUCUUACAUCCUGUGAUGGAUUGUCACUGGUGUUAGCAGUGAAAGUCCUUUCACUGCCAUAUUCUGUACUCUCCCUGGCACAUAAAUCUUUCCUGCAUCAUUGUUUUGAAGGAAAUCAAGUCACAUUCAAAUAUAUAUAUCCGCUGAUGAAAACAAAUAGUGCAGAAGUGACCAUUUUUUUUAGUAAGGGGGUAGAAUUAAAAGAAAUUAUAAGACAAACUUAUUGGUUAAAUAACCAGUUAAUGACUGGGUUUAGAAUAUAAUUGCUUCUAAUUUUCAUUUUUUGAACCCCUUAAUUUGC